rnacentral:sRNA from 1 species
AUAUCUCUCCGUACGGGAAGGAUGAGAAGCUUCGAUUAAGGUUCGAUUCGAGCGCAGCGAGAAAGCGUUGCCGCAGGCAACGACCCGAAGGGCGAAGCGC